CAGGUUUUGGUGAGAAGGAGGAGCACAGGUGGAACAGCUUUUGGGGAGACAAUCAGCAGUUUUAUUUGGGAUAUGUGAAGUUUUUGGUGUCUGGUAGACCUCCUGGUGGAGAAGCUGUGUAGCAGGGGCCCAUAUAAGCCUGGAGUUCAGGAGAAAGCCUGGGCUGGAGGUACACGUUGGGGAGUUGCUGACAGGCACAGCUAAAGAAAUGUGUUACUGACAAGCCUGCAGGCCACAUGGCGAGAUGGAAAGCAAGCAGUAAAGACCAAAGAAACUCGUUGAGGACAAUGGAAGAUGGGCUCAGAAGAAAAUGGAUACAGCUGAAGCUAGAUGGGUCAUGGGUGAAAGCAGGACAGGACCUCAUUCUCCAACAGAUACCAAGUAAGCCCCCAACACUGCACAGGCUGCCACACUUGGCGAGGGAACCAGAGUCCCCAAUCUCCCUGCUACACAAAGUCAGUAGCUGUUUUGCUUGCAUUGAUGGGUAGGCAGCGGCUGGUGCCUCAGUGCCGUGAGGCGAUGUCCUCUACCCACAGCUCUGGAAGCCAACUCACCAUGCCAGGGAGGGCAACUUGCAACAUCAUGGUCACAAAGUGGCCACCCUACCAUUUCAGCAAAUGUCUUCCUAUGUCCAUUAACUAGGGGGAACUGGCUAACUCCAUACGCUUUUUAAAAGGUUAUUUACAUUUAAAUGAAAUUCAACAGCUUUUCUACAUUCAGAAGCUUCUAUAAACAGAGGCUGCGGCCUGGGAAGACUGUGGUUCUACCACUCCUGUUUCUAACAGGAAUCAAGUACUAUUUCCUUUUGUACCACUCAGCAGCACACACUGGACAUCAUUGUUGAAGAGACAGAGAUUUUCUUGUAAAAGUUGAUGUAUCUAUUAUCCCAAGAAAAAGAGAAGCUCCAUUCUCAGGCCACCUUCAAAACAAGGCAAAGAAAAACCUUCACAAAUAACUGUGUUUCUUUUGUAGGAUCCUAAAAGCUCUUAGCACCGAUUCUCUUUCAGUUAGAUCCUAACUUGUAGGGGACUUUUAUUUCCAAAAUGGCAACACCUUUUAAAAAAUCUGUCAACGCAAAUCCACCAUUCCCUCUCAUCUUCUCUCUUUCUUGGCCUUUGUUUAAUUGACGAGGGAAACAAAGAAUCAGGUCUAUUUAUAGGCACAGCCAUUGGUACUGACUUUCAUCCAGUUCAUUUGACUUUGAAUAUGAACCUAAAAAAAAGGGGCUCAGGUU
rnacentral:lncRNA from 10 species